rnacentral:rRNA from 1 species
AUUGAACGCUGGCGGCAUGCCUGACACAUGCAAGUCGAACGGCAGCACGGGGAUGGUUUAGGCCAUUUUGGGUGGCGAGUGGCGAACGGGUGAGUAAUGCGCAGGAAUAUACCCUGGAGAGCGGGACAACUUGUGGAAACGCGAGCUAAUACCGCAUGAGCGCGGGAGAGGAAAGGCUGGGGACCUUGCGAGAGGCCUGGCGCUUUGGGAAUAGCCUGUGUCUGAUUAGCUAGUUGGUGGGGUAAGGGCCUACCAAGGCGAAGAUCGGUAGCUGGUCUGAGAGGAUGGACAGCCACACUGGGACUGAGAGACGGCCCAGACUCCUGCGGGAGGCAGCAGUGGGGAAUAUUGGACAAUGGGGGGAACCCUGAUCCAGCGAAGCCGCGUGUGUGAAGAAGGCCUGCGGGUUGUAAAGCACUUUCGGCGGGGAGGAGGGGUUAAUGGUUAAGAGCUGUUGACCUGGACGUUACCUGCAGAAGAAGCACCGGCUAACUCCGUGCCAGCAGCCGCAGUAAGAC